GGCCCAGUCUAUGGGUCAAGAAAAUCAGUAGAUCAUUCAGACAGAGUUGCAGAGACAAGUGCAACACAAGACAUAUAGGGGGAAAAUGCAAGAGGAAGUGACAUAAGGUCUCCUUUUAUCUCCUACAGAUCACCCUGAGCUAAAAGAAGUGAGAUUUGGUGGAUUUCAUGGAACAGAAGAAGAGAUUGAACUUGCUAUUUAUAUUCUAAAAAGUGCAACAGUACUCAACCAGAUGUUUCUCAGCCAAUACCCAAUCGACCCAUAUUUUAAGGCUUAUCAUGGUCAUGAUAUAUGGGAGAAAAGAGAAGGAGAAUGCAUCUUAAUCCAUCGACGACUUCGUGGGCAAGCUAUCUCUAGUAGUACUGUGGUGAUCAUCCAAUAGGUUCCUGUACAAACACUAUAUCAGCUCUCUCUAGUCACUAGUAGUUGUAGAGGUAAUAGAAGAACUGCCUUUUUGGUUGCAAUGUGCUAGUUUUUUGGUGACUUGAUGUGUUAUUAUUCUAGUGUAGCUUCAACGGACCAUAAAAACUAAGUAGUGCCUACUAGAAAAAGUCAAUAACAGCUUAUUCAAAUAGUAAAUAUUAGUGUUUCAUAGUAAAUCGAA